UAUUUAUACAGUAUAUAUUGGUGCCUUCCAAUGGGGACGUGUUUACCGUGUUCACAAGAAGAGUCCAUAUGAACGCCCCCCUCUUAUGGUGUUCACAACCUCGUAAGUGGAAAGUUUCUGAAAGCUCAGAGUUCACAACUUGUGACGUGUUUGUUGACGUUGUCAGAAAUGGCGGAGGACAUGAAGGUUAAUUUUUCAGUGCACAAUAAGUGAAUAUAUUGUAAUUUUAAUCGUUUACUGUUUUUCUUCGUAAUUAUAUAAUGUCUGAGGAAAAUGUUGAUAAUCCCAACGGCCUCAUCUUUUCCCUCUGUCAUUAUGCCUUUGCAUUUACAGCAUUAUGUUACUAGCUUGCUAAAUUCUUAGCCUCUGUGGCUUCUAGUCGCCAACAUUAACGUUAAUAUUGCCGUUGCUUAGCAGCGGUGUUCUCACGACUAAACCACUUG